rnacentral:lncRNA from 1 species
AAGAGAAGCUUUCUCUCCAUGCUCCUUUUUAGGGAAUUGCCUGGCACAGACGCCAGGGGGACAGGCCAUCGGUGAGGAGGCUAGGUCCUAAGCUGCUCUAAGCCCAUUCCUGCACGGAGGAGGGACAGAGCCAGCCAUGGCAGAGGAGGUAUGGGUGGGCACCUGGAGGCCCCAUCGUCCCCGGGGGCCCAUCAUGGCCCUCUACACCAGUCCUGGACCCAAGUACCUGAUUCCACCUACCACGGGUAAGAUUGCCUAAGGCCGGGCGGGCUCGUUAGGGACAGGGGAAGAAGCCAGGACUGGUGUGGCCUGGGAUGGAACUCUCGUCAGAGAGAAGGAUGCCUGGCUCCAGCAGCCCUGAGCCCCUGUGCCCACAGGCUUUGUGAAGCACACACCCACCAAGCUUCGAGCACCGGCCUACAGCUUCCGUGGGGCCCCCAUGCUCUUGGCGGAGAAUUGCUCCCCAGGGCCUCGCUACAGUGUGAACCCCAAGAUCCUGAGGACUGGCAAGGACCUUGGCCCUGCCUACUCCAUCCUGGGGCGCUACCAUACAAAGACCUUGCUGACCCCCGGCCCGGGUGAGUGACCCCUACCUUCUGCUCCAGGCUCUAAUACGCAUGUCCAGCUAUGUGAAGGCCAGAUAGCCUCACUUCUCCUGCUUCUCAGACACUGUCAGGCCUGAACAGCAGAGCCUGAAGCCCACCAAUCCUACUCUAC